rnacentral:snoRNA from 1 species
AAUGAAUGAUGACAAAAUGUUUCGGUCCCAUAUGAUACAUUUUGAUUCUACCGUUACAUUAUUUCUGACAUU